rnacentral:rRNA from 1 species
CCGGCAAACGGGUGCGGAACACGUACACAAUCUAACCUUAUCUGGGGAUAGCCAUAGAAAUGUGGGUUAAUACCCAUAGUAUUACGGAGUGGCAUCAUUUGUAUUAAGAAUUCGGAUAAGGAUGAGUGUGCGUCUGAUUAGGUAGUUGGCGGGGUAACGGCCCACCAAGCCGACGAUCAGUAGCUGAUGUGAGAGCAUGAUCAGCCACACGGGCACUGAGACACGGGCCCGACUCCUACGGGAGGCAGCAGUAAGGAAUAUUGGUCAAUGGACGGAAGUCUGAACCAGCCAUGCCGCGUGAAGGACGAAGGCGUUCUGCGUUGUAAACUUCUUUUAUCAGAGAAGAAACCACCGAUUUCUAUUGGUGUUGACGGUAUCUGAUGAAUAAGCACCGGCUAACUCCGUG